GCGUCAUGGAGGGAGCGCGUCGGGGCGUCAGCGAGCGCCAACUUUCACCGUGGGGACGGCUGGCUGACUCAGCCGCUCUCUGGACGGAGUUGCUGGGUCCCCACAAGCCUGCCCGUGCAGCUGAAGUGGCAGGUUAGAGUUGUGGUACUCAAACUUAAGUCCAAGCAAACAGGAGGAGCACCGGCGCGGGUUCAGUCUUUCCAAACCCAGUUCAGCCGUAAUCUCUGGAGUCAGACUUCGCCGCCCAAUUCAUGGAUUUGUGCUUUUGACUCCGCUCUGAUGUUUUUGAAUGAAUAAAGUUGCCUAGGAUACUUAAGUAUAGUUGCAGAGCGUCUUUUCGGCCCUGAAAAGAGGGAAAGUUUCCAU
rnacentral:lncRNA from 1 species